rnacentral:rRNA from 1 species
GCGGGGCCUACCAUGCAGUCGAACGGGAAAGCACUUUUCGGAGUGUAAGUAGAGUGGCGAACGGGUGAGUAACGCGUGGGUGAUCUACCCUUGGGUGGGGGAUAACCCCGCGAAAGCGGGGCUAAUACCGCAUAAGGCUGGGGUUGUAAGGGACCUCAGGGAAAGUUUUUGGAUGCCGAAGGAGGAGCCCGCGUCCGAUUAGCUGGUUGGUGAGGUAAGGGCUCACCAAGGCGACGAUCGGUAGCCGGUCUGAGAGGACGGACGGCCACACUGGGACUGAGACACGGCCCAGACUCCUACGGGAGGCAGCAGUGGGGAAUUUUGGGCAAUGGGCGCAAGCCUGACCCAGCAACGCCGCGUGGAGGAAGAAGGUCUUCGGAUUGUAAACUCCUGUCUAGAGGGAAGAAGGCAGUGACGGUACCUCUGGAGGAAGCCCCGGCUAACUCCGUGCCAGCAGCCGCGGUAAUACGGGGGGGGCGAGCGUUGUUCGGAAUUACUGGGCGUAAAGGGCGCGUAG